GGGGGUAAAAAGAAGCAUAUGAACUGAAACAUCUAAGUAAUGUGUAUAAAUAAAUCUAACGAGAUUGCGUGAAUAGUGGCGAGCGAAAGCGGAAGAACCGAAAGAGCUAGACAUCCCGUAAGGAGGGCACCUCCCUGCGGGAUCAAAAGAAUAGACCGAAGGUCUCUUGAUGCCCCCUGUGGCCGAGAUACUGUGACCCGGCACGGGCAAUGCUGUCGCCUGACGGCAUCCAGAGCCCGCCUACCGGGAUCAAGAGCUGAAUGAGAAGAGAUUAGAAGAACAGAGGGGGAAAGGAUCCUGUAAGUUGGCGUAGCACACAGUAUCGUAGAGGCAGGUAGCGUAGGUGUCCCUUCGGGGUAGUGGAGGAGGUAAACUCCUCCUACACUCGAGUACCCUCAGGGGGCUACGAUGGCUCAGACAUCAAAAAGUAGAGGGGAACACGUGAAAUUCCCUUUGAAUAACGGUGGACCUCCAUCGAAGGUUAAAGAAAGUAUUUUAUCGAUAGAGAACAAGUACUGUGAAGGAAAGUCUGAAAAAGAACCACUAAGUGGAGUGAAAUAGAUCAAGAAAUCCGGUGUGAAAUAGCAGUUGAAGUUGAAAAGAACAACGACGUACCUAUUGCAUAAUGGGUCAGCGAGUAUAAAGGAAUAGCAAGUUUGCCCGGGUCCUAAGGAUCCUAUAAAAAUUAGACGUAGCGAAAGCAAGUUUGAAAGAGCGUAAGUGAAUUCUUUAUGA
rnacentral:ncRNA from 1 species